UACGGGGGGGGCAAGCGUUGUUCGGAUUCAUUGGGCGUAAAGGGCGCGUAGGCGGCGGGGUAAGUCGGGUGUGAAAUCUCAGAGCUCAACUCUGAAAUGGCACUUGAUACUGCUCUGCUAGAGGACUGGAGAGGAGAUUGGAAUUCACGGUGUAGCAGUGAAAUGCGUAGAUAUCGUGAGGAAGACCGGUGGCGAAGGCGGAUCUCUGGACAGUUCCUGACGCUGAGGCGCGAAGGCCAGGGGAGCAAACGGG
rnacentral:rRNA from 1 species